UGACUCCUACGGGAGGCAGCAGUGGGGAAUAUUGGACAAUGGGGGGAACCCUGAUCCAGCGACGCCGCGUGAGAGAAGAAGUAUUUCGGUAUGUAAAGCUCUAUCAGCAGGGAAGAAAAUGACGGUACCUGACUAAGAAGCCCCGGCUAACUACGUGCCAGCAGCCGCGGGAAUACGUAGGGGGCAAGCGUUAUCCGGAUUUACUGGGUGUAAAGGGAGCGUAGACGGUGCAGCAAGUCUGAUGUGAAGGUUCGGGGCCCAACCCCGGGACGGCAUUGGAAACUGUUGAACUGGAGUACAGGAGA
rnacentral:rRNA from 1 species